rnacentral:snRNA from 1 species
CUCUCUAUGUAAAGAGACAUCCAAUAAAAUUGGAAGGACAUAGAGAGGAUUAGCAUGGCCCUUGCGCAAGGACGAUACACACAAAUUGAGAGAUGGUCCAAAUAACA